rnacentral:rRNA from 1 species
CCUACGGGAGGCUGCAGUGAGGAAUAUUGGUCAAUGGGCGGGAGCCUGAACCAGCCAAGCCGCGUGAGGGAAGAAGGUACAGUGUAUCGUAAACCUCUUUUGUCAGGGAACAAAGGCGGGGACUUGUCCCCGGAUGCGGGUACCUGAAGAAAAAGCAUCGGCUAACUCCGUGCCAGCAGCAGCGGUAAUACGGAGGAUGCGAGCGUUAUCCGGAUUUAUUGGGGUAAAAGGGUGCGCAGGCGGCCUGUUAAGUCAGCGGUAAAAGCCCGGGGCGAAACCCCGGCGAGCCGUUGAUACUGGCUGGCUGGAGUUGGAGAGAGGUACGCGGAAUGAGCGGAGUAGCGGUGAAAUGCUU